rnacentral:rRNA from 1 species
AAUAAACGCUGGCGGCGUGCCUAACACAUGCAAGUCGAGCGAGAAAGCUCCUUCGGGAGUGAGUACAGCGGCGAACGGGUGAGCAACGCGUGGGAAUCUACCCUUCAGUGAAGAAUACCCUUGAGAAAUCGAGGUUAAUACUGCAUACGUCCUGUAAAGGAGAAAGAUGGCCUCUUUGCUGUCGUUGAGGGAUGAGCCUGCGUACUAUUAGCUAGUUGGUAGGGUAACGGCCUACCAAGGCGAUGAUGGUUAACCGGCCUGUGAGGGUGACCGGUCACACUGGGACUGAGACACGGCCCAGACUCCUACGGGAGGCAGCAGUGGGGAAUAUUGGACAAUGGGCGGAAGCCUGAUCCAGCAACGCCGCGUGAGGGAUGACGGCCUUCGGGUUGUAAACCUCUUUCAGCAGGGACGAAGCGCAAGUGACGGUACCUGCAGAAGAAGCACCGGCCAACUACGUGCCAGCAGCCGCUGUAA